rnacentral:sRNA from 4 species
UGUAUCUGAAGUCUGACGAGGAUGAGAACCUCCGGGGGCAAGAGGUUCGACUCGAGCGAAGCGAGAGAACGUUGCGUCAGCAACGGCC